rnacentral:rRNA from 1 species
ACAGGACGUCAUAGAGGGUGAGAAUCCCGUAUGUGACUGGAAAUGUUAACCUAUGUAAAGCUCCUUCGACGAGUCGAGUUGUUUGGGAAUGCAGCUCUAAAUGGGAGGUAAAUUUCUUCUAAAGCUAAAUAUUGGCGAGAGACCGAUAGCGCACAAGUAGAGUGAUCGAAAGAUGAAAAGCACUUUGGAAAGAGAGUUAAAAAGCACGUGAAAUUGUUGAAAGGGAAGCGCUUGCAAUCAGACUUGUUUAAACUGUUCGGCCGGUCUUCUGACCGGUUUACUCAGUUUGGACAGGCCAGCAUCAGUUUCGGCGGCCGGAUAAAGGCUCUGGGAAUGUGGCCUUCACUUCGGUGAAGGUGUUAUAGCCCAGGGUGUAAUACGGCCAGCCGGGACUGAGGUCCGCGCUUCGGCUAGGAUGCUGGCGUAAUGGUUGUAAGCGACCCGUCUUG